rnacentral:rRNA from 1 species
CCCUGGCUCAGGACGAACGCUGGCGGCGUGCUUAACACAUGCAAGUCGAGCGGUAAGGCCCUUCGGGGUACACGAGCGGCGAACGGGUGAGUAACACGUGGGUGAUCUGCCCUGCACUUCGGGAUAAGCCCGGGAAACUGGGUCUAAUACCGGAUACGACCUCGGGCUGCAUGGCCUGGGGUGGAAAGGUUUACUGGUGCAGGAUGGGCCCGCGGCCUAUCAGCUUGUUGGUGGGGUAAUGGCCCACCAAGGCGACGACGGGUAGCCGACCUGAGAGGGUGACCGGCCACACUGGGACUGAGACACGGCCCAGACUCCUACGGGAGGCAGCAGUGGGGAAUAUUGCACAAUGGGCGAAAGCCUGAUGCAGCGACGCCGCGUGAGGGAUGACGGCCUUCGGGUUGUAAACCUCUUUCAGCAGGGACGAAGCGCAAGUGACGGUACCUGCAGAAGAAGCACCGGCCAA